UGCGAGCGUUAAUCGGAUUUACUGGGCGUAAAGCGUGCGUAGGCGGCUUAUUAAGUCGGAUGUGAAAUCCCCGAGCUUAACUUGGGAAUUGCAUUCGAUACUGGUGAGCUAGAGUAUGGGAGAGGAUGGUAGAAUUCCAGGUGUAGCGGUGAAAUGCGUAGAGAUCUGGAGGAAUACCGAUGGCGAAGGCAGCCAUCUGGCCUAAUAC
rnacentral:rRNA from 1 species